AUGAUCAUAUCACAUUGAAACACCAGUUCUCGUACGAACAUUGAAGUUAAGCAACGGAGACCCUGAUCUGUACCUAGAUGGGUGACCGCUUGGGAAUACCAGAUGAUG